rnacentral:rRNA from 1 species
GGUCAAGUCGUAACAAGCUCGCCGUAUCGGAAGCUGCGUCCGGAUCACCUCCUUCCUCAGUAA